rnacentral:rRNA from 1 species
GGCGGCGUGCCUAACACAUGCAAGUCGAACGGGGCCCGCAAGGGUUCAGUGGCGAACGGGUGCGUAACACGUGAAGAAUUUGUCCAACGGCGGGGGAUAGCCGGCCCAACGGCCGGGUAAUACCGCGUACGACCCUCGGGGGGCAUCCCCUGAGGGUGAAAGCCGCAAGGCGCCGAUGGAGAACUUCGCGGCCUAUCAGCUAGUUGGUGAGGUCAUGGCUCACCAAGGCGACGACGGGUAGCUGGUCCGAGAGGAUGACCAGCCACAUUGGGACUGAGACACGGCCCAGACUCCUACGGGAGGCAGCAGUGGGGAAUAUUGCGCAAUGGGCGAAAGCCUGACGCAGCGACGCCGCGUGUGGGAUGACGGCCUUCGGGUUGUAAACCACUGUCGCGAGGGACGAAGAUCUGACGGUACCUCGAAAGGAAGCACCGGCUAACUCUGUGCCAGCAGCCGCGGUAAUACAGAGGGUGCGAGCGUUGUCCGGAAUCACUGGGCGUAAAGGGCGCGUAGGUGGCCUGGUAAGUAGGGGGUGAAAUCUCGA